rnacentral:rRNA from 1 species
GACGAACGCUGGCGGCGUGCUUAACACAUGCAAGUCGAACGGUAAGGCCCUUCGGGGUACACGAGUGGCGAACGGGUGAGUAACACGUGGGUGACCUGCCCUGCACUUCGGGAUAAGCCUGGGAAACUGGGUCUAAUACCGGAUAGGACCCUGGGAUGCAUGUCCUGGGGUGGAAAGCUUUUGCGGUGUGGGAUGGGCCCGCGGCCUAUCAGCUUGUUGGUGGGGUGAUGGCCUACCAAGGCGACGACGGGUAGCCGGCCUGAGAGGGUGACCGGCCACACUGGGACUGAGAUACGGCCCAGACUCCUACGGGAGGCAGCAGUGGGGAAUAUUGCACAAUGGGCGCAAGCCUGAUGCAGCGACGCCGCGUGAGGGAUGACGGCCUUCGGGUUGUAAACCUCUCUCAGCACCGACGAAGCGCAAGUGACGGUAGGUGCAGAAGAAGGACCGGCCAACUACGUGCCAGCAGCCGCAGUAA